ensembl:lncRNA
AUGAAAGUGACCCUGAAAGUAAAAACAGAAAAAUCAUUAGGAAAUAUUUCACAUCACAUACUACACACACUUCACAUACUCACAUCAUAUACUACACACACUCACAUAACAUACUACACACACUUCACACACUCACAUCACAUACUACACACACUUCACACACUCACAUCACAUACUACACUACACUCACAUCACAUUCUACACACACACACACACAUCACACACUACACACACUUCACACACUCACAUCACAUACUACACUACACUCACAUCACAUUCUACACACACACACACACAUCACACACUACACACACUUCACACACUCACAUCACAUACUACACACUCACAUCACAUACUACACACACACACACACACUUCACACACUCACAUCACAUACUACACUACACUCACAUCACAUUCUACACACACACACACAUCACACACUACACACACUUCACACACUCACAUCACAUACUACACACACUACACUCACACCACACACUACACACACUUCACACACUCACAUCACAUACUACACACUCACAUCACAUACUACACACACACACACACACUUCACACACUCACAUCACAUACUACACUACACUCACAUCACAUUCUACACACACACACACAUCACACACUACACACACUUCACACACUCACAUCACAUACUACACACACUACACUCACACCACACACUACACACACUUCACAUACUCACAUCAUAUACUACACAUACUCACAUCAUAUACUACACACACACACCUCAUACUACACACACUCACAUCACAUACUACACACACCUCAUACUACACACACUCACACCACACACUACACACAAUUCACAUACUCACAUCAUAUACUACACACACACACACACACACACACCUCAUACUACACACACUCACAUCACACUACACACACUUCACAUACUCACAUCACAUACUACACACUCUCACACACACACCUCAUACUACACACACUCACAUCACAUACUACACACACACUACACUCACACCACACACUACACACAAUUCACAUACUCACAUAAUAUACUACACACACUCACAUCACAUACCUCAUACUACACACACUUCACACACUCACAUCACAUACUACACACACACACAUACCUCAUACUACACACACUUCACACACUCACAUCACAUACUACACACACUCACAUCACACUUCACACACUCACAUCACAUACUACACACACACACCUCAUACUACACACACUCAUAUCACAUACUACACACACUACACUCACACCACACACUACACACACUUCACACACACACAUCACAUACUACACACAUCACACCACACACUACACACACUUCACAUACUCACAUCAUAUACUACACACACUCACAUCACAUACUACACACACCUCAUACUACACACACUCACAUCACACUCUACACACACACUCACAUCACACAGAACACACAGAACAGGCCACAGUGCACUCACCUGCUGCAGGUACUGAUUCAGCGUGAUGUGAGCCAUACUGACCUCCACAAACACACAGUUGUGAGAUACCUAGUGUGCUGCCUACUGAGACAACAGCAGCACGAUUAA